GGGGCUCGAACUCACAAACUGUGAGAUCAUGACAGCUGAAACCAAGAGUCAGGUGCUUAACUGACUGAGUCACCCAGGCACCCCAAGGUUAAAGUAUCGAUAGGGUUUUCACUCUCCUUUCAAAUAGCCUUCUGGAAGUUUAUGGAUGGCCAUAGGUCUGCGUCCCUUCCCUUGCUGAGUAUUGCAAGGUUUUCUCUUUCCCACCUGAGUGUCAUGAGCCCAAGAGCUUCCUCGGCAAGGUGCUCAGGCCCCUCUGGAGUAAUUUCAAUGUGGCCACUGGGAGUGCUGGGCCUGGUCUCUAGGUCAUUGGCUUCAUGUCUGUCCCUGCAAUGCACUUCUGAUCAAUGCCAAAAACAUAUUUCAAGUUCUGAGUCUAGGGUACCUUUCUUUCCCCUCCACCAUUUGGUAUUGAAUGUUUGUCUUCCCUCGUGUCAUACCACGAGGAGAAGGAACACGUAUGUCUUGUUCUUUCUUAUGUUCCCAGGGUGUAGCAGAGUGUCUGACCCAUACUAGGUUCUCAGUCAAGAUUAAUCUUUGCUUCUUCCCAUCCACUCCAGCCACCUUUUUCUUCUGACAUGGCCCCCAUCUCCCAGCACCUGUGAAGCCCAUCCCGGCCACCGAAACCUGCAGGGUGGAGAGGAGGGAGAGGAGGGAGAGGGAGAACAAUCGCUUCUGGUUCUUCCACUAAUUGUCUCUCUGCCCAGCUCCCUAUGUGGGCCGUUCUUGUUCUUGGAUGCUUGGAUCGCUCUUUAUCUCCUCGCCAUCUGUGUAAGGGGAUCCUGCCAAGAUGAUCAGAUGUGAACUCAGCGCCAGAAACAUUUUAAUUAAUUUAUGGUGAUAAAAUGCGAAAAGAAAACCAAUGAGGAAAGUCUGGGCCAAAGAAAAUUAAACAUAAGAGGAAACAAAGAAACUGGAGCCAUGUGGCCUUGGAAGGAAGGGCCUGGUUGGCAAAGGAGCCAGCAAACACUCUCUCUCUUGCCCUCUUCUCUUUUCUAAUAACGCCCAAGUGGAAAAGCCACAGAGGACCCAGGGACUCGAGGGGGCAAGCGAGAAAAUUGAGUAGCUUGCUCUUGGCCUUGGCUUCUGGAUUAGGUUAAGUGAACAUGGGUGUGUAGAAGACAGAGAGCAAGGCUGUAGGAUUGCCGACCCCUGUUGUAAUAGGGGUGGUCGGUGUUUCUCAGGUAAGCAGAAGAGGGAAGAGUCUUAAGCUCCAGCUCUGGAAAAACCUUCAGCAGAUGCUUAAAUAAGUCAAUAUUUAAUGUAAGGAUGGCUUCCUUGCAGCCUGACAAAUACUACUUGGAUGGGGGUAAUGCCUCAAUUGGGAAAACGCUGAAGAAAACCAGUAUUAGCUAGCUUUUUCCCAGCUGAGACAAAAACAGGUUAGCAAUACUGGCUACCAGGUCAUUUGACUUAUUUGCAAGGUUGAUUUGAUUUAGUUUUUCUUCCUUUUCCCUCUUUUUAAUGUGAAAUACUUACCAAGUGCUGAAUAAAGACAAAUUUUGCAGUGA